rnacentral:lncRNA from 1 species
CCCUAGUCCCUUAGGCUGUCUCCACACUACCAAACCCAGCCUGCUCCCCAGGACUGACCUCUGGAGCCUAAGUCUCAGCGCUCAGCCCCCAUCAAGUGUCUCAGUCUGUGGUGUCUGUGCCAGCUGUUCAGAUGGUCUCUGCAUCUCUCACUUCCCUUUUUGGAUCUCAGACCUGCUGCUGUGCUUUUCUCAGCUUCUUGGAGUUCCCUCCAACUUGGCUGAUCUUUCCGUUGGUUAGGUGGCUUCCCAGGGUGUGGGUUUCCUUUCUCCUUCACAACUCCCUUAUAGGAGUGUUAGACCCAUCCUGAUUCCUUUACUCUCUCUAUUUUUUUCUUUUGUUCUACACAGUUCUGUCAAGAGUUUCUUGCCCUUUUUUGGAGUUUAAGUUCUUCUACCAGGAUUCAGUUGAUGUUGUGUGCAAAUCAUUUUACAUGUAUAUGUAUAUUUUUGAUAUGUUUGUGGGAGAGGGUGAGCACAUCCUCUUACUCUUCUGCCAUCUUUCCAGCCCUCUCAACAACUACUUUCUUUUUCUUUUUUUUUCUUUUGCUUUUGGCUGCACCUGUGGGAUGUGAAAGCUCUCCUGGCCAGGGAUCGAACCCAUGCCACUGCAGCCACCAAGCCACUGCAGUAACAAUACCAGGUCCUUAAUCCACUGCACCACAAACAAACCCCAACAGCUACUUUCUUGAAGAGUAGUAUGGCUAGCCUAAUCCUUGUGCCAUUGAGAUCCAGUUCUAGUUUUUCUCUGCACGUUUGAACAGCUAAGCCUCCGGGAUUCUAAUGGUCCUCUCUUCCUGAGGGAAAAUAGAAAAGUUACAGAAAGGACAAUUACACCUGUGACUAGAGUUGUUCUUAAUGCUUCAGCUGACACUCAUCCUUUCUCUCCUGUACUCUCUCAUCUAGGUCAUUCUCAGAGUCAUCCCUGACUUUUUCACUCCUUAUCCUCUUAUCACCAAGGAUCUAAAUCCCUGUCCACCACAUCCUUUUCAGCUUGGGAUGGCUGCUCUUCUUUAUUUACAGUAAAAAUUGGACAUAAGAGUACCAAGAGGCAGCCAAGUGAGUCAGCUGAUCCCCCAGGUAUUUCCUCUAAUGUGAAAUUAUAGGCCUGCUUCCCCUGAUUAUCAAGAUCAAUUACUCUUUCUAAGAAAUGUUUCUUCUUCUUUUUGCCUGUUUGUCCUUUGAUACAAAUGCCCAGGUGAUAGCCACGACUUAAAAUUUAAGGUAUUACAUAAUAACCUCUAAAAAAAUGGUUCUCUCAUUAGGAAACUGGAGCUUCUAGCAUUAUGUAUAGAUGGUGGGGUUGCAGGGAUGGGAAGCACAGUGUUCCCAAAGGGGUCACUGAGAAUUACAGAAGGUAGGGCACCACUUCCCAUAUAUGUUGGUUCCAGGAUCCAUAUAUUCUCUCUAUUGGGGAAACAGUGACAUGAAGUUUGUUAGGUCAGUGGAGUUGAGAUAAAUGGAGCCUGGAGCAUUGAGAUUGUAAGCAGGUUUAUUGACCAAAAGAGUGGCCUGGACCACUGAGCAGAGAGGACUCAGUCCCCCCAUUACUGGGGCAAGGACUUUUUUAUUAUUAGGAUUUCAUUUGAUAGGUCACAUAGUCUCAAGGAAAAAAAGGGAAGGGGGCUUAGAAACAGGGAAGAAGGAUUGAGGUCAUUAAGUAGGAAUUUUAACAGUCCUUUUGGCUCUUGUUUAUUUUGAGGUUUAACAGCUCCUUCAAUUGUCUUGGUCCUGGGACCUUCAUCCCUGCUGGAGUCUGGUUUCUUCUUUGUUUGGUGUCUGGAGCCUGAGUGGAAUCUUGAUAGUAUGGUUGUGUUAUAUCCUCCUUUUGGUAUUCUCCCUCCAGCUUAUAGAUACCACCUAACAAAGAUCUUUGCUACAGAAUAUCUAUGCAUCCUGUGCAUUCUUAUAAAAGUACUCCCUCUGAGCUGGUGGUUCAGCUGUGAUUUCAGUAGGCUAGUACAGUGUUCUGUCAGUCAACUGAUUUGGGGUAAUUCUAUGUGUGAUGAUAUAUGGCCAGCGGACCCCACGAUCAUGUGUUCUCUCACAUAUCUCCUUUGCUUCCAAAUACCUGCCUUAUCUAAAGUGAUAUUAUCUGGGAUCUGAUUCUAAUGGAUCAAAUACACAGUGAAUCCUCAGACAUUAGUGCUGCCUAAAAGCCUUAAAGGUCAUGGGCAAUUGUAUCUCUUCAUGAGAAAUAAAACCUCCAGCUCUUCCAGAUCUGAUAAGGGUCCUACGUAAACAACUUGGCAUCAAGUGACUGAUUAGUCACUUCAAGGAUAAGUUCCAUUAUCAGAGGGGCAACACUGGCCUCUGCGGCUAGUAGAUUAGGCAUUUGACAGCAUCAGUAUUAAAUUAUCUUCAGAAAUAUGGUUCAUGCUCUUAGGCCAGUGCAUAGUUUCAAUCACCACCACUGUUCAAUUGGUUCAUUUUUCCAUUGUGCUUCCACCCAACUGGACACUGAUAGUGUGUCUGAAGUCACUCAGCCAGAUGAUUGUGUCUACAGAGAUGUUUAGUGUUUCUUUCAUGGCACAUGCUCCAUGAUGGACAUUAACAUGUGAUACACUGAUCUUUAUAUUUUAUGUUCAUGUCCACAUGUCUGUCCAUAUGCCAAUUUCCUAUACCUCCUCAUCUGUGACAUUCAAGUAUUUUUGCUUGGCCCCCUGACCAACGAGGCAAGCUUUUUGCCAAGUCAUUGAGUGGACAUGUAUCCUAAACUUGGGCCAGUUCUCUUUAUACCUAAGGUAGUUGGACAGAGACACUGCCUAUUGGGAAGAUUUUUCCUCACCACUCUCUUUCAAGGUCAUUUUAUUGUGGACGUUUGUUUUUCCAUCUUGCAUGCAUGUAAAGAAAGAUGACUUUAUUUUUAUAAAAUAAGCUCAAGUUUUUACUUCUUUCAGAUAGGUACAUGGGAUUCCCCAGAAGCUAUAUCCAUGGGCUGAUGGAGGGCAUUGGUGAAAGAGCAGUGAGUCCCGCAAGUCUGGGCUACCUGCUCAUAUUCCAGUUUGCUGGAAUCCUUUGAUACUAUUCAUGGUCAAUCUCAUAUGUAUCACUUCUAUCCCACAGUGGUUUGUUACCUAGCUAUAAGAUCUUAUUAUUUGAUGGGUCAGGGUCUGGGGAAUACAGUUCAUGAUGAAUAGUUCUGGGCACAUGAACUAUUGACUCGAAAUAAGGUUAGAGAGGAAAGUAGCCACCAAGUCAUAGAGAAGUCAUAAGUCAUAAAAAAGUGUUCACUGUCUUGGAAGUUUGACUAGGUAACAAUAAGAAUGGAUCCCUUUGCAGUGCUAGCAAUACAGACAUGAAAUUAAGAAACAACAAAAUAGAAUAGUAGCUAGAUCUAGUCACCACAGCAAAGUGAAUGCAUAGACAACAUUGAAAAUGAAAGAUACCAUAAAAGAGAAGGCUUGUGAUUACAUGAAGGAGAUAGAGUUAAUAAUGAGUCUCUAAAUCUACCCCAUGUCCUUUGAUAUUUUUUCCAAUCCUAAUUUUCAUGUAUUUUUAUAGUAUAAAUGUAGACUCUCCUGUUAUAAUGUGACUAUAUGGUUAGAGAUGUCCAGAUCCAAUCCAGGAGGGAGAAUUCCUACAGUUAGAGACUUAGCCCUGGAAAGGAAGGAUGAGUAAGAAAGACUGAAAAGAAACAGUCAUAGAGAUAGGAAUAAAACUGGGAGAAGUUGUUAUGACAACCAGGAGAAAAAUUUCUUAAGAUAAAAGAGAUUUAAAUGAAAAACAUAGGUCCUUAAAACAUUCAAACAAGAUUGGGGGAAGGGGGUGUCUAAAAAGUCUAACAUCACCUGAGGGAGGGGGAACUUCUAUAGAGAUGAAAGAUAGUCAAGACGGGAAUUUAUACCAUAGCCAGAAAGCUAUAGAUCCUUUCAGGAUCCAGCCAGCAUGAAGAAACCAUGGAUUAUUAAAAUGCAGUGAAAAGAAAUUGUAUAUGCAUUCUAAAAGUAAUCUAUGUUCUUUCAUGUGAGUGGAGUCAAUGGAAAAGACAACAUCAAGUAUUUAAUAAUCAUGGAUUCUGUGCCAGGCAUUUUUCAUAGCAUAGAUUUUAAGAACACAGAAUCCAGAACCAGACAAAAAUAAGGGAGAUAAAAUGCUGGUGUUACAAAUUUUAUAUCAUCCCCUAGUCAUGCCCAUUCUUUAACAGCAGGAAGAGACUUUAUUUAAAGCUUUACUAAAGAAUUAGAUGACUAAAUAGAAUGCUUAUAAUUUUGACUUAUGGUUACAUUUGAUAUGACAGGAGAUUUUUAGGAAAAGCCCUCGUGUGAUGAGGUAGUUCAGGCUUAAGCAAAUAAAUAAAACUUGCUUGCAUUUCCAUCUCAGACAUUAAGGAACUUGGAGAAAUCCCUGUGCUGACUCUGGAUCUAGUGUUCUUAUUUGUCUGAGAGGGAUCAUGACUCCUUUUCAAGACAGUUCAAACAUCAUUUAUGAAGAAUUUAUUUUAGGGAGUUCGCGUUGUGGUGCGGUGGUUAGAGAAUCCGACUAGGAACCAUGAGGUUGCGGGUUCGGUCCCUGCCCUUGCUCAGUGGGUUAACAAUCCGGUGUUGCCAUGAGCUGUGGUGUAGGUUGCAGCCGCGGCUCGGAUCCUGCGUUGCUGUGGCUCUGGUGUAGGCUGGUGACUACAGCUCCGAUUCAACCCCUAGCCUGGGAACCUCCAUAUGCUGAGGCAGUGGCCCAAGAAAUAGCAAAAAAGACAAAAAAAAAGAAUUUAUUUUAGAAAUUCAACAAUGUAUGAAAUCUAAAUAAUUAUCAUUAAGAGAAUGCAGAGAAGAUGCUAGUCCUAUGGAAAGAGGAGUGCCAGAAAUUCCUCUAAUGACAUUGUGUUUACAAUUAAGUACAGAAGGAAACCAAAGCAAAAAAGUAAAUAAAUAAUUUUUUUAAGUAAAAGCAUGUAUUAGUCAUUAAUGUUUCAUAAAAUAUUAAUGAUCCUUUUUGCUUAAUAUAUGAACCACUGUAGAAAUUUUGACAUCAUUUAAAAAAAAAAUGAGAACCUGGCAUCAAAAUCCUACCAGGUGACUGACUGUUUCUGUCAGGGCAGUAAAAAGUAGAAGACAUAAACAAAUAUUCAUGCUUCAUCAAUUAUUAUUAAAUUCAAACACUCACACACAGAGUCCACACUAUUUUCAUCAUGGCCAUAAGAAUUAAAGGACUAUUGGGAGUGGCAAAAUGGGUUAAGGAUAUUAGUUUCUUUCCUCCUCUGCCUUUGUUAUUUAGUGAAUGACAGUGAAUUAUAUUUGUUGUGCACA